AUGGGGAGAAGGGAAACUUACGGGCUCAUAGAGACCAAUGCGGAGACCGCCGUAGAUGCACUGGCGGUGGAGGCCAGGGACGAUGCCCUUCCAGAGCGCGGCGGCGCCUUCCUCCUUGGCGAUGGUGGCGGCGGUGCCGAGCAGGCCACGGUACUUGGGCCCAGCGAGAUCCCCGGCGAUGGCCUUCUUCUGCAGCUGCAGCCUGACCUUGGCCGUGUCGAGGGGGAUCGUGGUGAUCUGGGAGAGGGGAAGCCCAUUCGAUUAAACCAGGAGGCGAAAAUCCAUGAGGAAAUAACGAGAAUAGCGGCGUGA
rnacentral:rRNA from 1 species